rnacentral:rRNA from 1 species
AGCGAACGCUGGCGGCAGGCCUAACACAUGCAAGUCGAGCGGGCGUAGCAAUACGUCAGCGGCAGACGGGAGAGUAACACGUGGGAACGUGCCCUUUGGUUCGGAAUAACUCAGGGAAACUUGAGCUCAUACCGGAUAAGCCCUUCGGGGGACAGAUUUAUUGCCAUUGGAGCGGCCCGCGUCGGAUUAGCUAGUUGGUGAGGUACUGGCUCACCCAGGCGACGAUCCGUAGCUGGUCUGAGAGGAUGACCAGCCUCACUGGGACUGAGACACGGCCCAGACUCCUACGGGAGGCAGCAGUGGGGAAUAUUGGACAAUGGGCGCAAGCCUGAUCCAGCCAUGCCGCGUGGAUGAUGAAGGCCCUAGGGUUGUAAAGUCCUUUUAACGGGGAAGAUAAUGACGGUACCCGUAGAAUAAGCCCCGGCUAACUUCGUGCCAGCCGCCGCUGUAA